rnacentral:rRNA from 1 species
UGGGGAAUCUUGCACAAUGGGGGAAACCCUGAUGCAGCGACGCCGCGUGAGCGAUGAAGCCCUUCGGGGUGUAAAGCUCUUUCGACGGGAACGAUAAUGACGGUACCCGGAGAAGAAGCUGCGGCUAACUACGUGCCAGCAGCCGCGGUAAUACGUAGGCAGCAAGCGUUGUUCGGAAUUACUGGGCGUAAAGAGUGCGUAGGCGGUGCUUUAAGUUUGGUGUGAAGUCUCCCGGCUUAACUGGGAGGGUGCGCCGAAGACUGGAGUGCUUGAGUGUGGGAGAGGAAAGCGGAAUUCCUGGUGUAGCGGUGAAAUGCGUAGAUAUCAGGAGGAACACCUGCGGUGUAGACGGCUUUCUGGACCAUGACUGACGCUGAGGCACGAAAGCGUGGGUAGCAAACAG